CCUGCGGAAAUCUCUAGAGCCAGGGUCUAUCCAUGGGCCAUCGCUGUGCGCCAGCUCUUGCUCCAUCUCUCCGCGGCGGCAGCGCAACAGCCGCCCCCAUGAAAGUCGCCAUCCUCACCCCCCGCGAGCCUGCCCCAUCCCGCUUAGCGUCGUCCCCCGCCGCUGCGCAGCCGCGACCCAUCUGGAUAAGGAUGCAUCCGCUUCUCCCAUAGCCGCCACUACCCCUGCCUGCCCUCUGCUACGAACACGAAGAUACCCUGGAUGGAGGUGGAGCUCUCAGAGGCUUAAGAUCUAGAACUCUAUCGCGUACUACGGAUUCCACAGGGUGAGGAGAGAUACGAGCAGGUGUCCCACCGGCGAUGCGGGUCCAAUCUUCGGCAUUGGGAGCAAUCCGCCUACUCGACCACGAAGGUUCUCUGAGGCGGUGUAGCCAGAGAUCAUGCGGGCAACAGGGAAGGACGAUAGCUACGCAGCCCACAUCACGAAGGCAUAUAAGUGGGAGUUCGCCGAAAGGGAAGGUUUGCAACUGGUUGUGCUAAAUCCAGGGACUACUCUGGGCCCAUUUUUCAUGUCAUCAGUCAAUACCAGCCUGAAUAAUCUAUUGCAACUCCUAAGAGGUUGAAAAUUAACCAGGCCAACGUCUUGAGUUGGACCCUGUCAACACAGGGUGGGUCUAUCAAGGAGGACAAACAGGUUGGUUGAUGAGAGCAAAGGAGCUUUCCAAGAAGUUGAUUGAUCUGGGCAUUUGUUUCCUUCCGUUUGAUGUGACCAUCAGGGAGACCGUCGAUUGCUUCAGAAGCAAAGGGCUCAUCUAGCCCUGUGAACAUUUCCAGAUGUUAAAAGAACAGAUUAUCCAACAGCUGAUGGAACCUGCAUUAGAGAUAUUAUGUUGAUGUCACAAAUUUAGUUGAUGCUCAUGUGAAAGCGCUCAACAAGGCAGACACUAGAAAAGUCAGUAUUUACAACGUUGGAACAGGAAGAGAGAGGCCCGCAAAUAGUUAAUCUGGGACAACAUAUCUCUGUACUGGCCAUAGAGGACAACAAAAAAAUCAAAAGUUGAAGAAUCACCAACGGUGCCUCCUUUGCACCCUCCGGCUCAAGAACCUAGGCCCGAGCCAGUUCAACAAGUCAUGCCCACAGCUGAAGUGCUGAACCAACAGAUUUACUGGGAAUCAAUGAAUCAGCCCGAGGCACAUCUGAAAUAGAUCAAAACAAGGUAGUCGCCUUGGUCGUGGUUCCACAUGAUAAUCCGCCAAAAGCACCUUCUUCUACCAGUCCUGGAAGCGUGGUGACUAGCUGGAGCAAUUCAGAUUCUGUGCGUUGAAAAGGAAGUGAAAGAGGCUAUUGUUCAGGUACUAAUUUGCCAUAGUGUUGGUCUAUGACUGAAUGGUACAAAAUGCAUGCAAUGAAUGGAUGAUACUUUCCAGUUAAAUCAUGUAAUUGGAAUACAGUGGUGCCGUCAGUGGUGCGGAUUGGGGGCUUCUAGAGAAAGGGUCUAGCGUCGUGCCCUUCUUGACGAACAGUGUGUUGAUGUGUGCCAUCAUCGCACUGGGAACGAACGUGAUGGCUAGCACGGGGAGCAUCUUGAGCAUCUGCUUUGUCUCCACCACUCACCAUGCUCUGAGCCUGUGUUGGUAUGCAGACUUUUCCCUUUGUUUCAGAAGAAGAUGCAGUUGCAUUGCACAUUGUUAGAACCCACGAUCACCACAAAAUUGAGGGAAUAUGUCAUAACUCAUUAGUCAUUACCUUGUCAAGGUUUAUGCUUUCCAUCACGAACGGUUGGAGUUGCAACAUAACAUUCAUGGUAGUAAAUUGGGACAGGGCUAAUAUAGUGAUGUAUUUCCUUCCAUAGCAAAC